CCUAGGGGAGGCAGCAGUGAGGAAUAUUGGUCAAUGGACGGAAGUCUGAACCAGCCAAGUAGCGUACAGGAUGACGGCCCUAUGGGUUGUAAACUGCUUUUAUACAGGAAUAAAGUUAGCCACGUGUGGUUAUUUGUAGGUACUGUAUGAAUAAGGACCGGCUAAUUCCGUGCCAGCAGCCGCGGUAAU
rnacentral:rRNA from 1 species